GCGCCGCUAGCUCAACAGGCAGAGCAGCUGACUCUUAAUCAGCGGGUUCGGGGUUCAAGUCCCUGGCGGCGCACCA
rnacentral:tRNA from 1 species